rnacentral:rRNA from 1 species
UACGUAGGGGGCAAGCGUUGUCCGGAUUUAUUGGGCGUAAAGAGCUUGUAGGCGGUCUGUCGCGUCUGCUGUGAAAAUCCGGGGCUCAACCCCGGACUUGCAGUGGGUACGGGGCAGACUAGAGUGUGGUAGGGGAGACUGGAAUUCCUGGUGUAGCGGUGAAAUGCGCAGAUAUCAGGAGGAACACCGAUGGCGAAGGCAGGUCUCUGGGCCACUACUGACGCUGAGAAGCGAAAGCAUGGGGAGCGAACAGG